AUUGAACGCUGGCGGCAGGCUUAACACAUGCAAGUCGAACGGUAGCAGGAUAAAGCUUGCUUUUUUGCUGACGAGUGGCGGACGGGUGAGUAAUGCGUGGGAUUCUGUCUUAUGGAGGGGGAUAUCUACGGGAAACUGUAGCUACUACCGCGUAAUAUCUUCGGAUUAAAGAAUGGGACUUUUAGCCAUUCGCCAUAAGAUGAGCCCACGUGGGAUUAGGUAGUUGGUGGGGUAAGGGCCUACCAAGCGGACGAGCUCUAGCUGGACUGAGGGGAUGACCGGCCACACGGGAGCUGAGACACGGUCCAGACUCCUACGAGAGGCAGCAGUGGGGAAUAUUGGGCAGUGGGGGCAACCCUGACGCAGCCAGGCCGAGUGUGUGAAGAAGGCCUUCGGGUUGUAAAGUUCUUUCGGUGGUGAGGAAGGCUAAUAUGUUAAUAGCAUAUUAGAUUGACGUUAGCCACAGAAGAAGCACCGGCUAACUCCGUG
rnacentral:rRNA from 1 species